rnacentral:rRNA from 1 species
ACGCGCGGAACCUUACCAGGUCUUGACAUCCUUCGCUACUUCUAGAGAUAGAAGGUUCCCCUUCGGGGGACGAAGUGACAGGUGGUGCAUGGUUGUCGUCAGCUCGUGUCGUGAGAUGUUGGGUUAAGUCCCGCAACGAGCGCAACCCUUGAUCUUAGUUGCCAGCAUUAAGUUGGGCACUCUAAGGUGACUGCCGGUGACAAACCGGAGGAAGGUGGGGAUGACGUCAAAUCAUCAUGCCCCUUAUGACCUGGGCUACACACGUGCUACAAUGGACGGUACAAACGGUUGCCAACCCGCGAGGGGGAGCUAAUCCGAUAAAACCGUUCUCAGUUCGGAUUGUAGGCUGCAACUCGCCUACAUGAAGCCGGAAUCGCUAGUAAUCGCGGAUCAGCAUGCCGCGGUGAAUACGUUCCCGGGCCUUGCACACACCGCCCGU